UGAAGUCAAUGUCGGCAUGGCUGAGGAGCGGUCCUGCUCGGCCUCGGCCUCGGCCUCCCCUCUCCCCGCUCCCCACCAUCUUCUGUUUCCUCCCUCACUUCUCAAAACUUGAGGAAAUUUGGACAUAAAGUACAUUUUACAAACUCUGGUUGCUAACUCCCGUUGGAAUCAACGGGACGUUUUGCCCUCCUCCGCCGAUCUCCAGCCCCUUUCGGGGGUCAGACUUUUUAAUUCCACCCUGACAAAGUUGACCGAAGGACAAUUCCGGCCAGGGACGAAGAAUUGGCAUGGCUCGCCUCACGUUUAUCUCAUUGCGAGCACACACCAGUCCUGAUACAGGGAUCAAUGGUGGAAAAGAGAGAGCAAGCUGGUUCAUAUCUCAAUAAGACUGCACUUCCAACGGCCACGAACGUAUCAAUCACCUCCGCUGUGGACCACUUUCUGGAGGACCAAGCCGCUGACUUCUACAAAGAAGGGAUCCGUAUGCUCCAUGACCG